ACUUGCUCCGGCAGGACAUGUAUUAAAAUUGGAACGAUACAGAGAAGAUUAGCAUGGCCCUUGCGCAAGGAUGGCACGCACAUUCCCGAAGUGUUCUAUCUCUCU